UAUCUGUAUGAAUUUAACCAGUGAUGUUAACUGUAACAAAACACAAUGCUAACCACAAACAAACCUGUGAUACUAAGUGUUUCCAGUGAUUAACAAGACACAGAGUGGAAACGUUUCAGAAAGGAAAUCCCAGACGAGACGGUGCUUAUCGUGAUGACAUCCGUUGAUCUACAGACAGGUUAUGGGGAAAUCUACUGUACAUGUUGCAAAAGCUCUGAUAUAGCGGGUGUUACAGGAAAUGAG